AUGUGGCAGUUCUCCAUUCUGUGCCUCUGUGUACUCAUGGCUUCUGUGACUACAGACACCACAGUCUCUUUGUUGGAGCAAAAGCCAAGAUGGGGUCUGGUACCACGUGGUCAAGCUAAGACCCUGCGCUGCAUCUUGAAGAAUUCUCAGUAUCCCUGGAUGAGCUGGUAUCAGCAGGAUCCCCAACAACAACUGCAGUGGCUGGUCACUCUACGGGCUCCUGGGGACAAAGAGGUCAAAUCUCUGCCUGGCGCUGAUUACUUGGCCACACGGGUCACUGAUACAGAGCUGAGGCUAGAAGUGGCCAACAUGACCCAGGGCAGAACCUUGUACUGCACCUGCAGCAGAGACACAGUGGUAAGCUCUGUGGGGGCAUUGCAUCAAAAACCACACAAGCACUGUGCUGCCUCCCAGUCCUUGAUCCUCCGCAAGCCCUUUCUACCCAGACUUCUCAACCCCUUGCCCUAG